AAGAAAGCCCAAUUCCAGUAAAGCAAGCUGUGCAAAUCAUUUAGUAUUAUAUUUGAAAAAAAUAUAGACUUGAAUAGAAUGUAGUAAAUGUCACUGUUGUGCCUACUUUGUGCAGAGGACAUGAAAAAACUGUAAUUGCAAAGGCAGUAGUUAGAGGAUGUCGACAGAGAUUUAAGCCUAAUGUUACAAGAGCAUCUGGAAGGAAAGAAGAGCCUGGAAAAGAUGCAGGAAAUGACAAAAUGUCCCAUCCACCCCCCAAGAAAGAAACCGAAAAGAAUACUGAUGAAAGUAAUAGGUCAGAUGCUACUAAUGAAGAAGCUGCAGAGAAAAAUUAUAAAGUCCUGGAGACAAUGUCUCAGUAAGUAUCUGAAAAAUGAGAAGACAUAUGCUGCUCUCCAGCAAUUUGCCAUCCCUCUUGCUUCUGAUAGUAUUACAUAGUGUGGUAAUUACAGAAAAAAGGAAAAAAAAAACCCAAACAAAUAAGAAAGCCUACCCUCCCCCACAAAAAUACCCAACCCAACACCAAAACCCAAAUCAAAGCAGAACAGCAACAAAAAAAAACCCAGAACUUUUGUUUUUAAAGGGGGAUAGUUGAAGAGGAUGGAGGGAGAUAAACUGGGUUUCAUAAUUUGGCAG
rnacentral:lncRNA from 1 species